rnacentral:lncRNA from 1 species
AAAUGUUUAAAAAACGAAACUUUUUCAUAUAUUGCUAAUUCCAUCAACCUUAAUCUUUUUCAUAUAUGGUGCAAGACCGAUAGCUCUACCUCCCGUGUGGAAGAUCUUGAGGUUAUGUGCCUCCGAAGAGAACAGCCUGCUCGUGCUGAUCAGGAGCGUGCAGAGCACGCCUUCGCCGAAGGACUUCUCAUCGCUUAAUGCGCAGGAGCUAAGCUGUUACACAGAGGUCUCACUAAGGC